UACGGGGGGGGCAAGCGUUGUUCGGAAUUACUGGGCGUAAAGGGCUUGUAGGUGGCCAACUAAGUCAGACGUGAAAUCCCUCGGCUUAACCGGGGAACUGCGUCUGAUACUGGAUGGCUAGAGUUUGGGAGAGGGAUGCGGAAUUCCAGGUGUAGCGGUGAAAUGCGUAGAUAUCAGGAGGAACACCGGUGGCGAAGGCGGGUCUCUGGGCCGUAACUGACGCUGAGGAGCGAAAGCAUGGGGAGCGAACAGG
rnacentral:rRNA from 1 species